AUUGAACGCUGGCGGCAGUCCUAACACAUGCAAGCCGAGCGAGCGGCGGACGGGAGAGUAAUGUCUGGGAAAAUGCCUGAUGGAGGGGGAUAACUACUGGAAACGGUAGCUAAUACCGCAUACCAUCAGAUGUGCCCAGAUGGGAUUAGCUAGUAGGUGGGGUAGUGGCUCACCUAGGCGACGAGCCCUAGCUGGUCUGAGAGGAUGACCAGCCACACUGGUACUGAGACACGGUCCAGACUCCUACGGGAAGCGGCAGUGGGGAAUCUUGCACGGUGGGAACAAGCCUGAUGCAGCCAUGCAACGUGUGUGAAGAAGGCCUUCAGGUUAUAGAGCACUUUCAGCGGGAAAGCGUUGCUCGCAGAGGAAGCACCGGCUAACUCCGUGCCAGCAGCCGCGGUAAUAC
rnacentral:rRNA from 1 species